GCGGGUGUGGCGGAAUUGGCAGACGCGCUAGAUUUAGGUUCUAGUGUCUUAGUGACGUGGGGGUUCAAGUCCCUUCACCCGUA
rfam:Lactobacillus floricola DSM 23037 = JCM 16512 strain DSM 23037 NODE_36, whole genome shotgun sequence.